UAUUAAACUUUUUCUUAACAAAGAUGGAUCCCUUUGGUGUUGAAUUUUGAGGGCGGCUCUUAGUCGAUAUUCCUUCGUCUUUUAUGCGAAGGGUUCCCGUUUAGAAAACUUCUUCCGGUUAUGUUUAUGGUUUCUUCUGACCGGUUGUCUCUAAAAGCGUUAGGCUUUAUUGUAUUACUGGGGGAACUGAAACAUCUUAGUACCCCAAGGAAUAUUUAUCAAAAGAGAAUUCCGUGAUUAGUGGCGAGCGAAAACGGUUUCGGUUUCUUAAGGAAUGUUGCGAAGUCCAGAGAGGGUGUCAAGUCCCGUAGCUAAGCUAUUUUGCUGUGAUUUCUUAAGGAAAGUUGGUUUAAGUAUGGUGGAAAAAGCCUUUUCCGCUAGAAAAUUGGGGAACCUUCCUCAGAACCUGAACAUACAUUUCGGCGACCUAUAGUGAAAAGUACCGUAAGGGAAAGGAUGAAAAGAGCUCUCUUAGGGUAGUGAAAUUAGAUCGUGAAAUCUCUGUUUUUUAUCAGUCUUUCUAAAGAAUUACCUUUUGUAUAAUGGUUCAGCGAGUUUUUUAUAAAAGCAAGCCUAAGAAUUUAUUUUGGAGGCGUAGCGAAAGCGAGUUUUAAAUUGCGUUAGUUUUUAUAAAAAGACCCGAAACAAAGUGAUCUAACCAAGGCCAAGCUGAUGAUAAUCUUACGCGAUUGUCUGAGGGUUGAACUCGUGUCUGUUGCAAUAGAUUGAGAUGAGCUUUGGUUAGGGGUGAAAAGCCAAUCGAACUUUGAGAUAGCUGGUUUUUCGCGAAAUGUAUUUAGGUACAGUCUCUAACUUAUCCUGCCCAAGGUAGAGCACUUUUUGGAAUUCUUGGGGAAUUCAUUCUUACUUGAUCCUUGAAAACUCCGAAUGUGGGCUAGGCUUAUUAGGGAAUGAGACUUUGGGUGCUAAGGUCCUAAGUCAAAAGGGAAACAGCCCAGAUCGGUAUUUAAGGCCUCAAAUGUUCGCUUAGUGAAAAGGAGUCUUAAAAUCCUUGACAGCAAGAAGGUAAGCUUGGAAGCAGCUACCCUUUAAAGAAAGCGUAAUAGCUCACUCGCUUAUUGAUUUUAAACUCUGAAAAUUUAUAGAGUCUUUUAACGAACAGCCGAAAAUCCGAUAACCUUUUAGGUUAGGUAGCGAAACGUUCUGUUUUAAAGAAGGCUUGUUGUAAAACAAGGCUGGAAACAUCAGAAUUGAGAAUGCUGAAAUGAGUAACGAAAAUUAAGUAAAAAAGCUUAAUCACCGUAAACCCAAGGUUUUCUUUGAAACUAAUUUUGCAAAGAAAUAGCCGAUCCCUAAGUUUAUCUACGAACGUAUAACGACAAUGGGAAAACAACAUGUUGCCUUUUAAACGCGACGACAUUAAUUUAUCUGUAAUUCCCUAUUGCAGUAUAAGAAUGCUCCAGGAAAAAACGUUUAGAUUGAUUAAGAUCGUACUAUAAACCGACACUGGUGGGUUAGUAGCUUUCUACUAAGGUGCUCGAGAUAACAACUCAUAAGGAACUCGGCAAAAUAAUCUCGUAACUUCGGAAGAUGAGAUGUCUUACAAGGGUAACCUUGUCAAGAUGGCACGAAAUUGGGAAAAGCGACUGUUUAACAAAAACACAAGACUUUGCAAAUUUGCAAUAAAAAGUAUAAAGUCUGACAUCUGCCCAGCACUAAUUGGUGAGAAAAAGAAGGUUUGCGCUUUUUUUAUAAGCUGUAGUAAACGGCUGCAGUAACUCUGACUGUAUGAAAGUAGCGAAAUUCCUUGGCUGUUAAUUGCAGUCCCGCAUGAAUGAUGUAACGACUUUUCCACUGUCUCUUGAGUUGUCUCGGUGAAAUUGAACUCUGUGUGAAGAUGCGCAGAAAACCUAGAAAGACAAGAAGACCCUAUGCCGCUUUACUAAAUCCAGUUAUUACAUUUCGUAUAGUCUCGUGUAGUCUAGGUGGUAGCGCUUUGCGCGCCCAUGAAAAACCACUCUUUUCUAUUGCGAUUUGUUCUACUUAACGGUCUUCCGAAAAGUGCCUGGUUGUUAGUUUUUCUGGGGCGGAAGACUCCUAAAUAGUAACGGAGCCGCGCAAAAGGCAAACUCUCACUAAUUCGUUUAGUGCUUGAGUGUAAUGGCAAAAGUUUGCUUGACUGCAAGACUGACAGGUCGCGCAGAGAUUUAUGUCGGCCAUAUUGACCCGAUGGUGCUGAAUGGAAAGGCCAUCGAUUAACGGAUAAAAGUCACGCUAGGGAUAACAGGCUGAUGCCUUCUUAGAGCACUUAUCGAUGAAGGAUUUUGGCACCUCGAUGUUGACUCGUCCUAUCCUCCGGCUGUACAAGGUCUGAAGGGUUCGGCUGUUCGCCGAUUAAAAGGGUACGUGAGUUGAGUUCAGAACGUCGCAAGACAGUUCGGUUUAUAUCUUCUAGGUUUUGGAAAUUGAGAGACCUUGGCCUUAGUACGAGAGGAUUGGGUAAACUUUGCCUAUGGUUUGCUAGUUGUUUUAAUUAAGCACGCUGGUCAGCUACGCAAGGAAAAAAGUAUUGCUGAAAGCAUAUCAAGCGAAAAAUUUAUCUCAAAAAUAUUUCCCCUAAUUAGCGGUGUGUUUAUCACCACCUUGAUAGGCUAUUCGAUUUUUGUCGUAUUAGUACUAAGCUGAUUUUUAUUUAAG
rnacentral:rRNA from 1 species